UGGGGAAUAUUGCACAAUGGGCGCAAGCCUGAUGCAGCCAUGCCGCGUGUGUGAAGAAGGCCUUCGGGUUGUAAAGCACUUUCAGCGGGGAGGAAGGCGUUAAGGUUAAUAACCUUGGCGAUUGACGUUACCCGCAGAAGAAACACCGGCUAACUCCGUGCCAGCAGCCGCGGUAAUACGGAGGGUGCAAGCGUUAAUCGGAAUUACUGGGCGUAAAGCGCACGCAGGCGGUCUGUCAAGUCGGAUGUGAAAUCCCCGGGCUCAACCUGGGAACUGCAUUCGAAACUGGCAGGCUAGAGUCUUGUAGAGGGGGGUAGAAUUCCAGGUGUAGCGGUGAAAUGCGUAGAGAUCUGGAGGAAUACCGGUGGCGAAGGCGGCCCCCUGGACAAAGACUGACGCUCAGGUGCGAAAGCGUGGGGAGCAAACAGG
rnacentral:rRNA from 1 species